rnacentral:rRNA from 1 species
UACGAAGGGGGCUAGCGUUGCUCGGAAUCACUGGGCGUAAAGCGCACGUAGGCGGCUUCUUAAGUCAGGGGUGAAAUCCUGGAGCUCAACUCCAGAACUGCCUUUGAUACUGGGAAGCUCGAGUUCGGGAGAGGUGAGUGGAACUCCGAGUGUAGAGGUGAAAUUCGUAGAUAUUCGGAAGAACACCAGUGGCGAAGGCGGCUCGCUGGCCCGAUACUGACGCUGAGGUGCGAAAGCGUGGGGAGCAAACAGG